GACGAACGCUGGCGGCGUGCUUAACACAUGCAAGUCGAACGGAAAGGCCCUGCUUUUGUGGGGUGCUCGAGUGGCGAACGGGUGAGUAACACGUGAGUAACCUGCCCUUGACUUUGGGAUAACUUCAGGAAACUGGGGCUAAUACCGGAUAGGAGCUCCUGCUGCAUGGUGGGGGUUGGAAAGUUUCGGCGGUUGGGGAUGGACUCGCGGCUUAUCAGCUUGUGGGUGGGGUAGUGGCUUACCAAGGCUUUGACGGGUAGCCGGCCUGGGAGGGUGACCGGCCACAUUGGGACUGAGAUACGGCCCAGACUCCUACGGGAGGCAGCAGUGGGGAAUAUUGCACAAUGGGCGGAAGCCUGAUGCAGCAACGCCGCGUGCGGGAUGACGGCCUUCGGGUUGUAAACCGCUUUCGCCUGUGACGAAGCGUGAGUGACGGUAAUGGGUAAAGAAGCACCGGCUAACUACGUG
rnacentral:rRNA from 1 species